rnacentral:misc_RNA from 1 species
AACGCAUAUUGCGCCCCCUGGUAUUCUGGGGGGCAUGCCUGUCCGAGCGUCAUUACUAUCCUCAAGCAUCGCUUGUGUGUUGGGUCCUGUUUCCUGUAGACUGGCCUGAAAAGCAGUGGCGUUACCGUGUCUGAUGCCUGAGCGUAUGGGGCUUUGUCACUCGCUCCGCAUGGCCACGGUGGCCUUUUUUGCCUAAAUAUAAGAGUUUAUCUCCAGUUGACCUCGGAUCAGGUAGGGAUACCCGCUGAACUUAA